GAUGAACGCUGGCGGCGUGCCUAAUACAUGCAAGUCGAGCGAACAGACGAGGAGCUUGCUCCUCUGACGUUAGCGGCGGACGGGUGAGUAACACGUGGAUAACCUACCUAUAAGACUGGGAUAACUUCGGGAAACCGGAGCUAAUACCGGAUAAUAUAUUGAACCGCAUGGUUCAAUAGUGAAAGACGGUUUUGCUGUCACUUAUAGAUGGAUCCGCGCCGCAUUAGCUAGUUGGUAAGGUAACGGCUUACCAAGGCGACGAUGCGUAGCCGACCUGAGAGGGUGAUCGCCCACACUAGAACUGAGACACGGUCCAGACUCCUACGGGAGGCAGCAGUAGGGAAUCUUCCGCAAUGGGCGAAAGCCUGACGGAGCAACGCCGCGUGAGUGAUGAAGGUCUUCGGAUCGUAAAACUCUGUUAUUAGGGAAGAACAAAUGUGUAAGUAACUAUGCACGUCUUGACGGUACCUAAUCAGAAAGCCACGGCUAACUACGUG
rnacentral:rRNA from 1 species